UUAUACAGCUGAAAGAAAUCAUAUUAAAUGAGAAUUGUAGUUUAAUCAGGGGUUAUACUUUACACCAGCCUCUGUCUUUAGCUUUCAAGUUUUGCCCUUGGAAAUGGUUUGGUCUUUUAGCUAGUUAGAGUAUGUGUAACUAGCUAAAAGACCUGUCCCUGAUGAAAAGGAAAACUGCUAUUCUAUGAAAAUACAUGAUUAGUGUAAAGAAACUGCUGCAUUCAUCUUGGCAGUGAAGCUAAAUUAUAUGGUUGCCCAUCAUGCUUGUACAGAUGGAAGUCUGAAUACUGUGAGAAUGUCAAACAUUACAGAAAACUGCUAACACAUCUCAGUAAAUAAGGACAGAAGAAGAAGAUUUUUGUGUAGAUGAUCAUCUCUGUUAACUGUCUUUGGUACCUUUCACAGCAGGAUCUCUCCUAUCCUCCUUAAACUUCUGAGAAGUUGUCGGGUGUGUGAUUCAGUUUGUCUGUCCCCUUCCAAGUAUUGUAGCUCGUGUUCAGAUUCAGUAGCUUGGUUUGUCUUUGUUUGUGUUGAAAACGUCGUCAUUGCAUUGGAGUAAUUAAUUAAAUAAUUUAUAAAUUACUUGACUGUGCUAGCAGGAAAUCCUUUUAGAGGAGGAAACUUUGAAAUGUUAUUCCAAGUUAUCGUUGUGUGUUUUCUAGGAGUGAAACCCUGUGCUGGCUCCUGCCGCAGGUAGCUCUGGGUGAGAUUCCUGCACAGUUGUGAAUUUCAGGUUCCAGGCUGAACGAGUGUUCCAGUGACCCCCGUGUGAGUAGGAGCCAAGAUGGAAUCCCUACACUUCUCCUGGACCCCUUCUACAAAAACAACUGCAACUUCUCUUUCUUUGUUUUUAUCUCCUGCAGAUUAUGGUUUCCAGGUUUGCACUCAGAGCUCAAUAAUACUUCUAGUUUAUAGUGAUUAUAUUUAAAGCUUCUAUUUGUAAUGUUUUGUUUGCUUUAUUCUAUUUUUAGUCAUGUUGUUUGUCAUGGCAAGCAGUGUUUAAUAAAAAAAGUUAAGUUUCCUAGUGA